rnacentral:lncRNA from 1 species
CAGAGCUUGGUAUUGAUUGAAAAGCAAGAUCUGAGAUUUUGUUAGUGUCGAGCUGUUUACAGAAACAAGAGGUAGACGCCUCUCCUUUCCUCCAACCUCUAAAGUAAUUGUUUUUUUUUUUAACCACCAGCUGUGACAGAUAGGAGAAACCAAGGGCAUUUUCUUACUUCUUUCUGUUUCUAGACGCAGACAGCGACUUAGUGGAGGAGCAUUUUGUGGAUGUUGACAAGGACGGAGGCAUUUUAUAUUAGCAGCUUGGUGUGGCAGGAGUGAACCCUCUUUUCUGAUUUUAUUUUCAAGGAUCUCUCAUUAUACUGCACCUCACUAGCACUUUUCAAUUCAGAAAACCUACGUACUUCUACAUGGGUUUGCAUUGAAACUAAGUACACUUAAUUGUUGCCCAGUGAAAGGCAUAUGUUAUUGUAGGAAGACCAAGAAAUGUUUGCCUUUUGGUCCAAGGGUUGUUAUCUUCAAAAGGUUUAAACCACAUCUGUUUCCAUACAACAAAAAUGGACUAUUUGUUUAGCCUUUUAAUGAAUGAUUUAACAUAGGAAUCAAACAUUAUACAUCUAGAAAAAAGAGAAUUUUAGGUAGCAAUUGCUUAAAACUGUGCUUUUUAACUUAAUUUGGUGGGGCCAGUUUAAGAUUGAUUCUGUUUAUGGUGUAUAAAUUGGAUUGUUUAGUAAGUGGAAUAUUAGAAUGUGCUUGAGUGGAAUUAUGAAGUUUGAUUUGCAGAUUAAGUUCAGUGCACAUAAGUGUGAUCUAUAGAUUCAGAAUGUAUAAUUAAUACUUAGCAAAUAAGAACUAGAAAAAAUAAGUUGAAAUGUUCACUAAGGUACAUGUAUAUAAAAAUUUGGGAGCGAGAGAUAGUAAAACUCUUAAGGAAAGAAAGUGUUUUUAUAUUCCCUUAGUUCUCCAAAUACAAUAGUAGUUUAAAUAGAAAACUGUGGGCAUCUACUUUUUUUUCUUAGCAAACUUCUGAUAUAUUAAGAAAAUAUAAUUAAGUUAAAAAAUUACUAUGGAUUUGUAGUUUCAAGGGACAAAACUUAGCAAAAUAACUGGAAGAUCGUGAGGAUAGGUAGUAAGAAUCAGUAUGGUUUAUGGUGAAAACCAAAAAUUUAUCAUAAAAUUUGUCUAAUUCUAGGUUUAAAAGAGAGAGACAAGCUUUUUCAAAUGGAAAGUACAUUUUUAGAAAUCAGUGGCCACUCUUAUUUAAAACACGAAACCUCAUGUGCAGCAUGAUCCUUUGGUGACAAGAUGUUGAGAACAGAGCAGAAAUAAAUUUACACUCCAUAGCAUGAGGUUGAGUUUAGUUUUAGGUUUUUUUUUUUUUUUUCCUGUUGGUAUGAACUUGUUUUUUCCCACCGUUAUGAAUUACCGAUUACAGUUUGUGCAAACAUUAAAAAUGUUGAUUUGCUGCACUUUAGUGUUGAAUCAGAUUUCCUCUUCUUUGCAAUCUGUUUUCAUGCCUAAAAUAGCAUCCACAAUGGUAAAGCAAAGUCAAAAUACUUAAAGCCCUGGAGGGAAAAUGCAUUGAAGUCAUGUUCCCACUUCUUAAUCCUGAAUAUUAUGAUUUAGUCAUUCUUUUAUAUAUAGAAGAAGAAAGUGAGGGGGGUCUGGGUAUCAGAGAAGUAAAUAGAAAGAAAGAAGGAAGGAAGGAAGGAAAGAAAGAAAGAGAAAAGAAAGAAAGAAAGAAGAGAAAAGAAAAAAGAAAGAGAAAAGAAAAAGAAGGAAGGAAGGAAGAAAAGAAAGAAAGAAAGAAAGA